rnacentral:rRNA from 1 species
AGCCACAGCCAUAUCACCCUGCAGCCCAAGACUGGUUGCCCACUGAAGCUAAGCAGGGUUGAGCCUGGUCAGUACCUGGAUGGGAGGCCUCCUGGGAAAACUAGGUUGCUGUUGGAA